UACGUAGGGUGCAAGCGUUAAUCGGAAUUACUGGGCGUAAAGCGUGCGCAGGCGGUUUUGCAAGACAGAUGUGAAAUCCCCGGGCUUAACCUGGGAACUGCAUUUGUGACUGCAAGGCUAGAGUGUGUCAGAGGGAGGUGGAAUUCCGCGUGUAGCAGUGAAAUGCGUAGAGAUGCGGAGGAACACCGAUGGCGAAGGCAGCCUCCUGGGAUAACACUGACGCUCAUGCA
rnacentral:rRNA from 1 species